rnacentral:rRNA from 1 species
CGUUGCCCGGAAUUAUUGGGCGUAAAGGGCUCGUAGGCGGUCUGUUGCGUCGGGAGUGAAAACUCAGGGCUUAACCCUGAGCCUGCUUCCGAUACGGGCAGACUAGAGGUAUGCAGGGGAGAACGGAAUUCCUGGUGUAGCGGUGAAAUGCGCAGAUAUCAGGAGGAACACCGGUGGCGAAGGCGGUGCUCUGGGCAUUACCUGACGCUGAGGAGCGAAAGUGUGGGGAGCGAACAGG